UUCUAGUGUCCCUGGUGGUAAUUUCCACAACGUAAGUUUACUAGUUUGUUAUCUAAAAUGUUAUUUUAUUUGAAGUGGAAAUGUUGUAGUUAGGGUUUGUAGAGGAAGCCCUGUUGGAUAUAUCUCUGAAUCAAUCAAAACAGAAAGCUUCCCUUUUUGAACUUCCUGUAUUUCUGUCUCCAUGGUAGUGGAUCUCCAGAGAGCACCAGCUCUUCUACUGUGUCUGUCCCUCCACACUGGGACAAGGGAGCCCUGCCUGACUUCACAUACAAGCUGGUUCCAGUCUUAGGCCUGAUGACAGAGUACCAAAUGGUGCAGAGUCUGUUCAAACGUACCAUGUCCACCAGCACCAUCCACAAAAUCAACAGGAUCCAGAACCCCUCACUCUGGAGGGUCUUCCAGUGGCAGAAGGAACAGAUGAAGGUGAAGAAUGGAGGGAAACUUGUGGAUGAGAGAUAUCUGCUGUGGGUGCAG